rnacentral:rRNA from 1 species
AGCGGGGCGGGUGCCUAAACAUGCAAGUCGAGCGGACAGAUGGGAGCUUGCUCCCUGAUGUUAGCGGCGGACGGGUGAGUAACACGUGGGUAACCUGCCUGUAAGACUGGGAUAACUCCGGGAAACCGGGGCUAAUACCGGAUGCUUGAUUGAACCGCAGGGUUCAUUUAUAAAAGGUGGCUUUUACCUACCACUUACAGAUGGACCCGCGGCGCAUUACCUAGUUGGGGAGGUAACGGCUCACCAAGGCAACAAUGCGUACCCAACCUGAGAGGGUGAUCGGCCACACUGGGACUGAAACACGGCCCAAACUCCUACGGGAGGCAGCAGUAGGGAAUCUUCCGCAAGGGACAAAAGUCUGACGGACCACCCCCGCGGGAGUGAUGAAGGUUUUCGGAUCGAAAAACUCUGUUGUUAGGGAAAAACAAGUACCGUUCAAAUAGGGGGGUACCUUGACGGUACCUAACCAAAAAGCCACGGCUAACUACGUGCCACCACCCGCGGUAAUACGUAGGUGGCAAGCGUUGUCCGGAAUUAUGGGGCGUAAAGCGCGCGCAGGCGGUUUCUUAAUUCUGAUGUGAAACCCCCCGGCUCAACCGGGGAGGGUCAUUGAAAACUGGGAAACUUGAGUGCAAAAGAGGAGAGUGAAAUUCCACGUGUAGCGGUGAAAUGCGUAGAGAUGUGGAGGACCACCAGUGGCGAAGGCGACUCUCUGGUCUGUAACUGACGCUGAGGCGCGAAAGGCGUGGGGAGCGAACAGGAUUAGAUACGCUGUAGUCCACGCCGUAAACGAUGAGUGCUAGUGUAGAGGGUUUCGCCCUUUAGUGCUGCAGCAACGCAUAGCACUUCCGGCUGGGGAGUACCGUCGCAGACUGAACUCAAGAAUGACGGGUCGCCAGCGUGACAUGUGAUUAAUCGAGCAACGGCGAAGAAA